GAUGAACGCUGGCGGCGUGCCUAAUACAUGCAAGUCGAGCGAACGGACGAGAAGCUUGCUUCUCUGAUGUUAGCGGCGGACGGGUGAGUAACACGUGGAUAACCUACCUAUAAGACUGGGAUAACUUCGGGAAACCGGAGCUAAUACCGGAUAAUAUUUUGAACCGCAUGGUUCAAAAGUGAAAGACGGCCUUUCUGUCACUUAUAGAUGGAUCCGCGCUGCAUUAGCUAGUUGGUAAGGUAACGGCUUACCAAGGCAACGAUGCAUAGCCGACCUGAGAGGGUGAUCGGCCACACUGGAACUGAGACACGGUCCAGACUCCUACGGGAGGCAGCAGUAGGGAAUCUUCCGCAAUGGGCGAAAGCCUGACGGAGCAACGCCGCGUGAGUGAUGAAGGUCUUCGGAUCGUAAAACUCUGUUAUUAGGGAAGAACAUAUGUGUAAGUAACUGUGCACAUCUUGACGGUACCUAAUCAGAAAGCCACGGCUAACUACGUG
rnacentral:rRNA from 1 species